UGAAUAUGGUAAUCUUUUUGUAUUUCUUGUUUACGUGACUUCUUACUUGGAUCUGGUUUUCUUGGACGCUUUGAUCCUAGAAGGUGACAAGGUAAUCCCAUGGUUUGUAUUUUUCCUCUUUUUCCUCCUAUAUGGUUGUCUUUUUAUGUUCUUUAAUUGGAUUAGCUUUGGUUGGCUCGUGUGAUAUGUUUCGAACUGCUCUGCGGUGGUUUUUGAUCUUGGUAGAUGGGUUUGAGAUUGUUGAUUAGCGAUAGAAACAUCCGUGUUCUUGAUUUUUUUUUUGUGCAGACUUCAUGGAUUUCUGGAUCUUAGAUUGGAGCGAUACGAUGUAGAUACAUAGAUAGAUUACUUGUUUCGAUAUUCAUAAGCCAUGCAGUUCCGGCACUCACGAAUCCACUAUUC
rnacentral:lncRNA from 1 species